rnacentral:rRNA from 1 species
CAGCCGCCGCGGGAAUACGGAGGGAGCUAGCGUUGUUCGGAAUUACUGGGCGUAAAGCGCGCGUAGGCGGUUACUCAAGUCAGAGGUGAAAGCCCGGGGCUCAACCCCGGAACUGCCUUUGAAACUAGGUGACUAGAAUCUUGGAGAGGUCAGUGGAAUUCCGAGUGUAGAGGUGAAAUUCGUAGAUAUUAGGAAGAACACCAGUGGCGAAGGCGGCUCACUGGUCCGGUACUGACGCUGAGGUGCGAAAGCGUGGGGAGCAAACAGGAUUAGAUACCCGCGUAGUCCCUGUCUCUUAUAC